UACUAAAGGGUGUUUUCUGAUGUUGCAGAUGUGCAGGAAUUUGAGUCUGAAUGCCAGCAAUAUCUUAUCAGUAUUAUUUCUUCUUCUUAGUGUUGUCAAACUGUUUGGGAAGUGUUUAUUGCCUCAGUACUUCCUAGUUUCUCUGCGUGGAUCCCCCGAGGCUCCUCUAAGGACUAAAUAACAGAAUAACAAACAAACCAAACCCACUCCCACUUGAACUACUUGCGCUUGCUUCGUCUCUUCUCACAAACAACACCAGCUUAGUACUCGGCGGCGCUCAUCGUAAAAGAAUAACAUUAAGGUUAAGAUCUCAUGUAUGUUGCAUCCCUCGGUCCGUCUUCAUGUACAACCUGAA